CAACAAAAGACUGCCUAGAGAAAGGUAAAUAAUUUUCAAAUUGUUUCUGUAACACAAGAAAAAAUUAUUGCUAAGUAUUUUUUUUUUUGCAGUGACUUACACUAAGCUGACUCAAUUGUAAUGAAAGCUUUUUAAAGAAUGUUUCUUUUAUCUUUGGGAGAACCAUACUUGUGUGUGAGGAAAGUUAUUUCACAGGUUUUCAUCUACUGAAAUUAAUUAGAUCUUGUAAAGUUUAUACCAGAACUUUCAGUGUCUCUCUUCCUCUCUAAUUUUCUUAUGUAGUUCUUAUAGUCUACAGGAAGCUCCUGACCAUUUUAAUAAGCUAUUAGUAAGGUAGUACCAACCCCCCUUUGGCUGUGAAGAUGUAAUGAUUUGCAAUAGAUAAGUGGUCAUUAGAAGUAAGUUAUGGUGUGAUUUGUCGGAAAUUUCCUGUUGCAAACAGCAGACCGAGUGCAAAAAUUAUUCCGGUUAAUGUUUUUGUAUGAAAAAGCAUGGUUCUCUGCGCCAACAGAGGAAUUGUCCUCCAUUCAGCAGAGAUUUUGUGAUUUUUCACCUCGUUGUAUUUGUGAAAUCAAAGCUACAGUUUCUGCUGAACUGGUGGGUAAUUAGAUGUGGUACGUAAUAUUCCUUGACACUUGUUUGUUUUUAAAAAAAUCAGUCCGUAAAAAUUGCUUCUCCAUUUUUGCAUUUUUACUUCUCUUCCAGUCAUAGCUAAAUCUGUGGUUGCUCGUCAUACCAUAAUGAAAAAUCACUUAGCAGCUCAAGUGAAUGACUUUCAUUGAUAACAACAAGGGGGCUUGUUCACUGUCACUGAAGUACUUGUAACAAAUCUCUUCUAUACUUCAGGGGGAGCUUUGGGUAUGCAAGAGGCAUAGAGCUAAUUUCUAACGAUGGCUAUACUCAGCAUAUUUCAUGUCUUUGAAGAUGGCUUCUGCCAAAAUCGUUUUGUGAACUUAGAAACCAAUGUGGUACCGUUGGCCUUGCACUGUGUAUGACUGCUUGAGAUGUUGAAUGCAUAUGUCUAUGCUGCAUAAUGAAGGGUUGUGUUGAGAGACAUCUGUACUAGCUCAGAUAAACAGAGUAGUAUAUGUUUGUAAGUAGAGUAUGCAGGAAGGACAGCCAUAUUGAUAAGGCAGUCAGGUCUAAUAAAGCUGAACGAGGUCAUGAAAUGACAGUAACCCUUUGUCACAUAGGGAUAGUAUAUCUCCAUGAAGUCAUAGUAUUAUUUAUUUAUAUAGUAAGUAUCAGGCACAGGAUUUUCUGCCUUAAGUUUAUAUAGUACGGAAGCUUAAUGAACUACAAACUCAUUCCAUUGUAAUUAUAUUCUUACACAUUGGUAUAAAAGCUGCCUUUAGAUGAAAAUCCUCACUUUCCAGUUUAGCAUAUUCAUCAUGGUUUUUUUUUUUGUUUUUCUUUUUAGAGUAGAAUGUGUACAAUGCAGCUACAAGAGAGUUUGAAACAGGUGUACAAAACAGUGAAAAAGGAUGACAUGAGGAACUUUUGCUUGUUCACUGAGAGUAAACCUCCUAACUUUUGAAAGACCAACAAUGAUCACACCAAACAGAAACCUGCAUUUUGCAUCUUACCUGAAAAAAAUAUAAAUUUUGGUGCUUCCAGUACCAUAGCGUAAUACUGGUUCAGUGUAUUCUCUACAUACUCUUCUUCAGUUCUUCUAGACUUUUUCAUCACUUGCUGGGUUAGAGCUUUACAUAGCUAAAGUUUUAUUUCCCAGUCUACUGAGCCAUGCUGAGGAGAAAGCUAAUAGAAUAAAUCACAAGAGAGAGGUGUCAGUCUAUUUAUAAGGCUUCUUAGCUGAUAAUUGGAUGGGUGUCCAGACACAUCUUGACAUUGUAUUGACAUAAGACCCAGGUAAGUAACGUCCUUCCUGCACCUUCUUAUCUUGUGUCCACUCUAAUAGCCCCUGGAAGCAAAGAGGCUGGCAGCAAGGGUAGAUUCGUAACUCUGCAAAUUUAGGCAACUGGCAAUGGUUUACUUUCCGGAGCAUUCUUGCCUUGUGAUUUAGACACAAACAUAGGUACCGACAUAGCUAUAGAGCAACAACUGGAGCUGAAACCACAUUUGACUAGUAAUUGCUUAUUCUAUGUAGGUGUGAAAUACCUGCAGAGUUCUCAGCGGGUUCAGGGAAUAUACUGUGUUUCAGAAACAUUAUUCUUUUGGGUCUUCGAAGUCAAACUGCAUCCCAGUUUGCAGUUUAUGAGAAACUUGAAAAUACUGGUACUAAAUGGGAAAUCUAUCCAUAACUACACGACAGAAGGCACUCCAUUAGACACAAAUACUUGCUUUUCCCUCUGCUAUAUCUGCUCUAUUUGUCUCCUGAACAAUUAAACCUAACAAGAUCAGUGAAUCAGUACUAGCAGGUCAGAACAGGAUAGUUUGUUUAGAUUUCUGGUAGGUGAUGAAGUGCUCUGUUGUGUGUGAGGGAGGAACUUGGUUUUUUUCCCUCUGAGGGUGGUGGUGGUGAAGUAUAUAAAGACAUAGCUGAUACCAGAAAUGCAAGUCAGGGCACAAUUAGUAAUAUAAUUGCACCAUAGUAGCAAUAAUUAUUAUAAUUACUUUUAUUUACAUAAAUUUAAUUCUGUGCUAAAUCCUGUAAUUAAUGUUAUGGAGACAUUGUGAUCUGUGGCUUGUGAAGUGAAAGAUGAUUCAAAUAGAGUUUUCCCCUUGCAGGGUGAACAGUAACUUCCUUUUUGAAGCUAAGAAAUGUGGUUUUACGCUUUAAAUUACAACAAUCAAUUUCUUGAAAAGACUCAGACAAGUCUAGGAACAUAUGGAAGGCACUGCCUCCUCUGGGCACUGUUUAGUAUUCACCAAGAGCAAAGGAGAGAGAAGUCUGCUCAACUGCAUCUGGAGUCUAACUGAUCGCUGCUUGGAGUCAAAACAUAGCACCUGGCAAUAACAGGCUCAAGCCAGAGUCUGAAGGGUGAAGUCCCCAGCAGUGGGUACAAGGACAGGAAGAUGAAAUGGCAGUAUGGAAAGGGAAUGGCACAGCACCUACUGCUUCUGUUGGGGGUGGAAUUACAGAGGAGUUGCAGCUCUUUACUAGAGGCUGCCAGGUAGUGGGACUUGGAACAACUAGUGAGAAACUAAAUAAUGAAGAGAAGCAAAGGUUUGGGGCUAGAAGUGGUGUUGCUGUUUAGAGGACAGGAAGCUCUUCUUAAGGAAUAAUGAGCUGGAGGAUUUGGGGGCAAGUAUACUGAGAAAGGAGGGUUGGGUAAUGUGGGGGAUGGAUGAUGUCUUGGGAGAUGAAAACCAGGAAAACUGCUGAUAUUUUAUCUUGGCAGUCUGUCAUGCCUAUCCUUUGAUUUCUGGUAACCCCACACUGAUUUGGAGCAUAUGCCAUAAAGAAUAGGAAGGAAAUAGCAUACAAGGUCCCCUACAGUGUGGGGAAAACAUGGCCUGGGCACAUGAGAAAUUUUCUAAGUUGGAAUAUGUCACUGAGGUGGGAUGAUACAUAUAUGCUGUAGUAUGUGCUGCAAUGUGACCAAUACACUGACCAAAGAGGCUCCCACUGGUGUGGACAGCAAGCAUGUGCUGAGGCAAUGCCCCAGCCCAGGUGGUGUGCUUGGAGCCAUUAGCUCUAAUAAUUAACUUUACAACUUCUCUCAGCUGGGUCCAGGUGGCUAACAGGGCUGAGGGAGGAUUUGCAGGGCCAGGAAACAAUUUGCUUUAAAAAGUUCAAAUAUAUAAACCUGAUGAAGAUAUGCCAUCAAUAGAUUGAAUAAGCACUCUAAGGGUGUUUAUAACAACAGAUGGUUUCUGUAGGGUUUUACUGGCUUCUUGCUGCUACUCAUACUUCUGCUAGGACUAAGCAUGAGUCAAAGACUGCUACCUGAAGGCUUUUGAGGAAACUGCCUGGCUUUGGAAAGGGAGUGACUGGAGUCUGCAUCACACUAGGAAAUCUUGGAGAGGAGGUUGACCUGCUUUGGACUUCUAUGUAGAUUUGAGCUAACAAAGAGGGUGAACAUCCAGCAAGGCCACAUGGCACCCUCGCUGGUGACAGGCUGCAUCUGAAUGGUCCUAGAGAAGAGUGCAUAACCUUUGAGCACUGAUGACCCAGUGAAACCUCUCCCAUCAUAAGGCUCCUCCUGCCAGGUAAGCCAGGUUGUCCACAGGACCCUGACAUGAGUUUUGGCCACUGCUAACUGCGGUCACUGUUAAUCUCUUUGUAUUGUUUUCUUUCUCUUGGUUGUCACCAUGUUUAAAACGUUUAUUUCUGGAUGGAUCAUCAGUUUAAUAGCACACAUGCUGGCAGCCAGAAUGGGGGAGAGUGGUGGUAUUUUGCUGAUCAGUCAAUUAGUCCAUCUUCCAGCUUACAAUGAAGAAAACAGUUGAGCACCUACAACAGGGAUCUUACGUCAGCUGUGUGCUUUCAGGAUCUUGUACCUUCAGGCUCUUGUGACUGACUUGACUUAAUCAUUUAUGCACUGCUAAAGAGCCGCUUGCUGGUGCUUCCUGCUAAUAAUGCACGUUUGAUUAGCAAAACUUCAGGCCGUCCUUUGUGUCAGAACAUCUCCUUAUACCCAUGUGUGAAGUUCAGUGGCACAUUUUGGGGAAACACAUAGAAAUCCUGCAGCAGCACUGUGGAUACUGCACGUGACCGGGGUGGGAAACAGAUGCUUUUAUUUUAGUGGAAGUGUAAUGAUUUUACUUGUAGCUUGUACAUAGCAAAGUAUGUUGAGAUUAAGAAAUACCCUCUGGGGGUAGGUGGAGGGAAGGCAUUCUUCCCUUCAUUUCUUCUCUUAAGCCUUAACUGGUGCCUUGGAGUAUGAAACGGCAGCUGAAAUUCGGUGUGUUUGUGGUGACGAAAAUCAAAUGAACAAAAGUUCUCAACUUGGUGCUUAGCCAUUGCAGAAUUUCAUACCAUAGAAAUCACACUGUCAUGGAUUGCAACUUGUCAGGAAGAUUUUGUAUACUGACUGCAACUGACCUCAGAUAUGGGACACAUAAGACACUGAAAGGGUUUUGGUGGGGUGGUGAGGUUUAUUUGUUGUUGUACAUUAAAAUAGCAGGAGUCAGAGGAAAUAUUAACCCAUUUGUGUCAAUUUCACCCUCAGCUGUCAAACACUAGGUGUGCUUGCUGCCUGGAAGAAUGACACAGCCUUAGGAGAACUGCAAGGAGGCUAAAAAGGAGGAAAAGAAGAGCAUGUGUUGGUUGGGAGGGCUUAUGAAAAUUCCCGCUAAGCAAAUGCUUCAGUGAUGAAAAAGAGGAGAGGUGCCUCUGCCUGUCCUCUCCUCCCCUUCCCGCUCAAGGAGUACUGGUGCUUUUUGCCUUUUAAAUCUCACUAAUGUUGCUGGGGCUUGAAUUUGGCCUUUAAACUUCUAAAAUCCUCUUUGGUGGUGUUCCCCUGUGAACAAGGCAAUGGUUUCUUCCGUGCUUCACUUUUUAGCAAUUGGGAAUUCCCUGGUUGUGAUCCCAGCUGGAACCAGUGCUAUGCUUGGAUGCUGCUGAAACCUGCACCACUGUACCUUGUGCACUUAGAGCCAGGUUUGAAUGAAGCAGCAAAAGAAGAGAACGUGGGUUACUUUGUAAUGGGGAAUCCUAAACCACUCUGGGCUGGAAGUCAUAGUGUAUCAUACCAUGCACUGGAGAGGCACAUGCUUGUUUGUACAUAGACAGAGCACACCCCCUUUUUUUAUUUUAUUUUAUUUCCUGAAGGACCCACACUCUGGCUUCUAGUUUGUUUGGCUCUGUUGCUAUAUUGUUACUUCCUUUCUUUUCCUUAGGAAAUCCACGCACUUUCCUUGAUGUAACUUUCUGUGCUUUGUGUUGAUACAUUUCCUAUUCUGUUAGUUUCUUACCAAUGACCUCAAAUCUCCCCGUUUCCCAGGUGCUCCCUCACUGGGGCAAUGGAAUCACUGCCUCUCCUUUGCCAGCACAGAGGGUACUGGGAUCCUGCCUUGAGGUCUGCAAGGACUGAUGUCCCUCCAAAAGGUCCCUUCAUCUUCUCUGCUACACAUACAAGCAACAAGCUUCAGAAAAGAGAGCAGUUGGCCCAGGUGAGAGAUUCCAAUAUACUGGAAGCACAAUGAUGCUCAAAUGGCCAUUUCACAGCAGGUUGUGCUGGAGGCUGAGUGUUAGGAUUUGGCUUAGAGAUGUGUGGGAUGCCAGGGCGAGGAAACUGAGGCGCAGCCGGCCUGCGAAUCGCACUGUCCUAAACUCAUCUGAAGGAAAGGAAACUGGAGAAGAAAAUCUGACUUCUGGAGCUGCUUAGCACAGACUGUUCUUGCAGAGAUCAAUAAACUGAAGGAAUCUGGGGCCUAAGAAAACCAAGGGUCAGAAAACUGGUUAAAGUUCUCAAUGAGAAGAUUCGCAGGUAUGUUAACAGAAUGCAGACAUCCUUGUUCUGCACCUUAAACUUUUAAUGGCAACCAUCCUUGCAUGCAUAAGAAGGUUGCAUGACUCCUUCAUUUUCAGAGGAAUGAGCAAAAAAUAAGAAACUUUCCAGGUCAUUAUUUUGCUGCCUAUUCUUAGAAUGAAUGCAAGAUAAUUCAUGAGGUCUGCAACCUCAGAUGUUUAUCUAAGUUCAGUUCCUGGUCAGUUUGUUCUUGGUACAGAUGUUGAAAGCUGAACUGAUUAAAAAACCCACAAAAAACCAACCCCUAAUCCCCCUCAGCCCAAUGAAUGCUAUAAACCAGAUUUAUUUACUUUUAUCUCCUAGCAGCAACUCUAAUGAUCAAGUUUCACUGAAAGGCAGACCGACAGUUUUACAACUGCUAUGAGAUAUCCAUGGAAGCACACAGGUAGCAAAUGGUAAUUAAACUCACAGCUAUUAAAGAUCUCAUUAGAUGCCCAAACCCAAGAAACUCAUAAUCAUUAACACAACCAUCAGAAAAUUCUGCUCUUUGUGGAGACAGUAUCAUCACCUCUAAGUUUGCCAGCACUUAAAUGACCACUGGUCUCUUGGUUAAUCAACAUUUCUGGACACAUUUAUGCCUUUAACUUUGUUUUGAUAUUCAAGAUGUUUGAUACCACAUAUGGGAUCAGUGUGUAGGGACGCACUCUAAUAAAUACAGCUUUUGGUUGUAUAAACUC